rnacentral:rRNA from 1 species
CGGGGUGAGUAACGCGUGGAUAACCUGCCUCACACUGGGGGAUAACAGUUAGAAAUGACUGCUAAUACCGCAUGAGCGCACAGUACCGCAUGGUACGGUGUGAAAAACUCCGGUGGUGUGAGAUGGAUCCGCGUCUGAUUAGCCAGUUGGCGGGGUAACGGCCCACCAAAGCGACGAUCAGUAGCCGACCUGAGAGGGUGACCGGCCACAUUGGGACUGAGACACGGCCCAA